GCCUACAACAAGUUCGAGCCCGUUAAUGGGUGAGAGCGUGCCUUUUGUAGAAUGAACCGGCGAGUUACGAUAUGAUGCGAGGUUAAGUUGAAGAGACGGAGCCGUAGGGAAACCGAGUCUUAAUAGGGCGCAUUAGUAUCAUGUCGUAGACCCGAAACCAUGUGACCUACCCAUGAGCAGGUUGAAGGUGAGGUAAAACUCACUGGAGGACCGAACCAGGGCACGUUGAAAAGUGCUUGGAUGACUUGUGGGUAGCGGAGAAAUUCCAAACGAACUUGGAGAUAGCUGGUUCUCUCCGAAAUAGCUUUAGGGCUAGCGUCGAUGUUAAGUCUCUUGGAGGUAGAGCACUGUUUGGGUGAGGGGUCCAUCCCGGAUUACCAAUCUCAGAUAAACUCCGAAUGCCAAUGAGAUAUAAUCGGCAGUCAGACUGCGAGUGCUAAGAUCCGUAGUCGAAAGGGAAACAGCCCAGACCACCAGCUAAGGUCCCAAAAUAUAUGUUAAGUGGAAAAGGAUGUGGGGUUGCACAGACAACUAGGAUGUUAGCUUAGAAGCAGCUAUUCAUUCAAAGAGUGCGUAAUAGCUCACUAGUCGAGUGACCCUGCGCCGAAAAUGUACCGGGGCUAAAACAUAUUACCGAAGCUGUGGAUACCUUUAUAGGUAUGGUAGGAGAGCGUUCUAUGUGCGAAGAAGGUGUACCGUGAGGAGUGCUGGAGCGCAUAGAAGUGAGAAUGCCGGUAUGAGUAGCGAAAGACAGGUGAGAAUCCUGUCCACCGUAAGACUAAGGUUUCCAGGGGAAGGCUCGUCCGCCCUGGGUUAGUCGGGACCUAAGGAGAGACCGAAAGGUGUAUCCGAUGGACAACAGGUUGAUAUUCCUGUACUAGAGUAUAUAGUGAUGGAGGGACGCAGUAGGCUAACUAAACCAGACGAUUGGAAGUGUCUGGCCAAGCAGUGAGGUGUGAUAUGAGUCAAAUGCUUAUAUCUUUAACAUUGAGCUGUGAUGGGGAGCGAAGUUUAGUAGCGAAGUUAGUGAUGUCACACUGCCGAGAAAAGCUUCUAGCGUUAAUUAUACUCUACCCGUACCGCAAACCGACACAGGUAGUCGAGGCGAGUAGCCUCAGGUGAGCGAGAGAACUCUCGUUAAGGAACUCGGCAAAAUGGCCCCGUAACUUCGGGAGAAGGGGCGCUGACUGAUGGUCAGCCGCAGUGAAUAGGCCCAAGCAACUGUUUAUCAAAAACACAGCUCUCUGCUAAAUCGUAAGAUGAUGUAUAGGGGGUGACGCCUGCCCGGUGCUGGAAGGUUAAGAGGAGUGCUUAGCGUAAGCGAAGGCAUGAAUUGAAGCCCCAGUAAACGGCGGCCGUAACUAUAACGGUCCUAAGGUAGCGAAAUUCCUUGUCGGGUAAGUUCCGACCCGCACGAAAGGCGUAAUGAUUUGGGCACUGUCUCAACGAGAGACUCGGUGAAAUUUUAGUACCUGUGAAGAUGCAGGUUACCCGCGACAGGACGGAAAGACCCCAUGGAGCUUUACUGCAGUUUGAUAUUGAGUAUCUGUACCACAUGUACAGGAUAGGUAGGAGCCUAUGACCUCGGGACGCCAGUUUCGAGUGAGGCGUUGUUGGGAUACUACCCUUGUGUUAUGGCUACUCUAACCCAGAUAGGUUAUCCCUAUCGGAGACAGUGUCUGACGGGCAGUUUGACUGGGGCGGUCGCCUCCUAAAAGGUAACGGAGGCGCCCAAAGGUUCCCUCAGAAUGGUUGGAAAUCAUUCGCAGAGUGUAAAGGUAUAAGGGAGCUUGACUGCGAGAGCUACAACUCGAGCAGGGACGAAAGUCGGGCUUAGUGAUCCGGUGGUUCCGUAUGGAAGGGCCAUCGCUCAACGGAUAAAAGCUACCCUGGGGAUAACAGGCUUAUCUCCCCCAAGAGUUCACAUCGACGGGGAGGUUUGGCACCUCGAUGUCGGCUCGUCGCAUCCUGGGGCUGUAGUCGGUCCCAAGGGUUGGGCUGUUCGCCCAUUAAAGCGGCACGCGAGCUGGGUUCAGAACGUCGUGAGACAGUUCGGUCCCUAUCCGUCGCGGGCGUAGGAAAUUUGAGAGGAUCUGCUCCUAGUACGAGAGGACCAGAGUGGACUUACCGCUGGUGUACCAGUUGUUCUGCCAAGAGCAUCGCUGGGUAGCUAUGUAGGGAAGGGAUAAACGCUGAAAGCAUCUAAGUGUGAAGCCCACCUCAAGAUGAGAUUUCCCAUGAUUUUAUAUCAGUAAGAGCCCUGAGAGAUGAUCAGGUUGAUAGGUUAGAAGUGGAAGUGUGGUGACACAUGUAGCGGACUAAUACUAAUAGCUCGAGGACUUAUCCAA
rnacentral:rRNA from 1 species